UACAGAGGGUGCGAGCGUUGUCCGGAAUCAUUGGGCGUAAAGCGCGCGUAGGUGGCCCCAUAAGUCCGCUGUGAAAGUCAAAGGCUCAACCUUUGAAAGCCGGUGGAUACUGUGGGACUAGAGUACGGAAGAGGCGAGUGGAAUUCCUGGUGUAGCGGUGGAAUUCGUAGAUAUUAGGAAGAACACCAGUGGCGAAGGCGGCUUACUGGUCCGGAACUGACGCUGAGGUGCGAAAGCGUGGGGAGCAAACAGG
rnacentral:rRNA from 1 species